AGAGUGCGGAAGUCUGGGGCGAGGGAGCUCCUUCCCGGAGCCCAGCAGCCUCCUUCUUCGACCCCGGGUGUUGUGCCGAUGUAACCCCUCAAAUCCCCGUCUUUGCCGGGCCAGGGAGAAUAUUAAACCCUGGAAAGCUCGUCCCACCUCACCUCCUUUCCCAUUACAUAGGUGAAGAAAAGCGGGGCGGGGCAGUGGCUUACGUAUGGUACUAAGGACAGAGCGUCCGACCCCCGUGCAGCCGAGCCGGGACCAGAGUUGAGGU
rnacentral:lncRNA from 1 species